GACGAACGCUGGCGGCAUGCUUAACACAUGCAAGUGGUGCGACGAACCUUUUAGGGGCAAAGCCGCGAACGGGUGAGUAACACGUGGGCAAUCUGCCCAGUAGACCGGAAUAACUCAAGGAAACCUGAGCUAAUACCGGAUGUGCCGUACUUCCAUAAGGAGGUCCGGUAAAGAGAGCUUCGGCUAUUCGCUAUUGGAGGAGCCUGCGGAGUAUUAGGUAGUUGGUGAGGUAACGGCCCACCAAGGCGACGACGGGUAGCCGACCUGAGAGGGUGACCGGCCACACUGGGACUGAGACACGGCCCAGACUCCUACGGGAGGCAGCAAGCGGGAAUAUUGCACAACGGGGGAAACCCUGGUGCAGCGAUGCCGCGUGAGGGAUGAAGGCCUUCGGGUCGUAAACCUCUUUUGGCAGGGACGAACACAAUGACGGUACCUGCAGAAGAAGCUCCGGCUAACCCCGUGCCAGCAGCCGCGGUAAUACGGAGGGAGCGAGCGUUGUCCGGAUUUACUGGGCGUAAAGAGCGCGUAGGUGGUUUUUUAAGUCGGCUGUGAAAUCGCUGGGCUUAACCCAGUUAGGUCAGUCGAUACUGAUGGACUUGAGUCCGGGAGAGGGAAGCGGAAUAGCUGGUGUAGCGGUGGAAUGCGUAGAUAUCAGCUAGAACACCGGUGGCGAAGGCGGCUUCCUGGACCGGCACCGACACUGAGGCGCGAAAGCUAGGGGAGCGAACAGGCUUAGAUACCCUGGUAGUCCUAGCCGUAAACGAUGGUCACUAGGUGUUGGGGGUAUCGACCCCUCCAGUGCCGUAGCUAACGCAUUAAGUGACCCGCCUGGGGAGUACGGCCGCAAGGCUGAAACUCAAAGGAAUUGACGGGGCCCCGCACAAGCGGUGGAGCAUGUGGCUCAAUUCGAGGCUACACGAAGAACCUUACCACGGUUUGACAUCCGCAGAACCCUGCUGAAAGGCGGGGGUGCCCUUCGGGGAGCUGCGUGACAGGUGGUGCAUGGCUGUCGUCAGCUCGUGUCGUGAGAUGUUGGGUUAAGUUCCGCAACGAGCGCAACCCUCGUGCUAUGUUGCCAUCAGUUCGGCUGGGCACUCAUAGCAUACUGCCAGAGUAAUCUGGAGGAAGGUGGGGAUGACGUCAAGUCCGCAUGCCCCUUACACCGUGGGCUGCACACAUGCUACAAUGGGCGGUACAAAGGGAAGCAAGACCGCGAGGUGGAGCCGAUCCCAUAAAACCGUCCCCAGUUCGGAUUGGAGUCUGUAACUCGACUCCAUGAAGUCGGAAUCGCUAGUAACCGCAGGUCAGCUAUACUGCGGUGAAUACGUUCCCGGG
rnacentral:rRNA from 1 species